UACGUAGGGGGGCUAGCGUUGUCCGGAAUCAUUGGGCGUAAAGCGCGUGUAGGCGGUCCGGUAAGUCCGCUGUGAAAGUCGAGGGCUCAACCCUCGAAUGCCGGUGGAUACUGUCGGGCUAGAGUACGGAAGAGGCGAGUGGAAUUCCUGGUGUAGCGGUGAAAUGCGCAGAUAUCAGGAGGAACACCAACGGCGAAGGCAGCUCGCUGGGACGGUACUGACACUGAGGCGCGAAAGCGUGGGGAGCGAACAGG
rnacentral:rRNA from 1 species